rnacentral:rRNA from 1 species
GAGAUUCCCCCAGUAGCGGCGAGCGAACGGGGAGUAGCCCAGAGCCUGAAUCAGUGUGUGUGUUAGUGGAAGCGUCUGGAAAGGCGUGCGAUACAGGGUGACAGCCCCGUACACAAAAAUGCACAUAUUGUGAGCUCGAUGAGUAGGGCGGGACACGUGGUAUCCUGUCUGAAUAUGGGGGGACCAUCCUCCAAGGCUAAAUACUCCUGACUGACCGAUAGUGAACCAGUACCGUGAGGGAAAGGCGAAAAGAAC